GCCCUGGCAGUCAGAGGCGAUGAAGGACGUGCUAAUCUGCGAUAAGCGUCGGUAAGGUGAUAUGAACCGUUAUAACCGGCGAUUUCCGAAUGGGGAAACCCAGUGUGAUUCGUCACACUAUCAUUAACUGAAUCCAUAGGUUAAUGAGGCGAACCGGGGGAACUGAAACAUCUAAGUACCCCGAGGAAAAGAAAUCAACCGAGAUUCCCCCAGUAGCGGCGAGCGAACGGGGAGGAGCCCAGAGCCUGAAUCAGUGUGUGUGUUAGUGGAAGCGUCUGGAAAGGCGCGCGAUACAGGGUGACAGCCCCGUACACAAAAAUACACAUGCUGUGAGCUCGAUGAGUAGGGCGGGACACGUGGUAUCCUGUCUGAAUAUGGGGGGACCAUCCUCCAAGGCUAAAUACUCCUGACUGACCGAUAGUGAACCAGUACCGUGAGGGAAAGGCGAAAAGAACCCCGGCGAGGGGAGUGAAAAAGAACCUGAAACCGUGUACGUACAAGCAGUGGGAGCACAGAGCAAUCUGUGUGACUGCGUACCUUUUGUAUAAUGGGUCAGCGACUUAUAUUCUGUAGCAAGGUUAACCGAAUAGGGGAGCCGAAGGGAAACCGAGUCUUAACUGGGCGUUAAGUUGCAGGGUAUAGACCCGAAACCCGGUGAUCUAGCCAUGGGCAGGUUGAAGGUUGGGUAACACUAACUGGAGGACCGAACCGACUAAUGUUGAAAAAUUAGCGGAUGACUUGUGGCUGGGGGUGAAAGGCCAAUCAAACCGGGAGAUAGCUGGUUCUCCCCGAAAGCUAUUUAGGUAGCGCCUCGUGAAUUCAUCUCCGGGGGUAGAGCACUGUUUCGGCAAGGGGGUCAUCCCGACUUACCAACCCGAUGCAAACUGCGAAUACCGGAGAAUGUUAUCACGGGAGACACACGGCGGGUGCUAACGUCCGUCGUGAAGAGGGAAACAACCCAGACCGCCAGCUAAGGUCCCAAAGUCAUGGUUAAGUGGGAAACGAUGUGGGAAGGCCCAGACAGCCAGGAUGUUGGCUUAGAAGCAGCCAUCAUUUAAAGAAAGCGUAAUAGCUCACUGGUCGAGUCGGCCUGCGCGGAAGAUGUAACGGGGCUAAACCAUGCACCGAAGCUGCGGCAGCGACGCUUAUGCGUUGUUGGGUAGGGGAGCGUUCUGUAAGCCUGCGAAGGUGUGCUGUGAGGCAUGCUGGAGGUAUCAGAAGUGCGAAUGCUGACAUAAGUAACGAUAAAGCGGGUGAAAAGCCCGCUCGCCGGAAGACCAAGGGUUCCUGUCCAACGUUAAUCGGGGCAGGGUGAGUCGACCCCUAAGGCGAGGCCGAAAGGCGUAGUCGAUGGGAAACAGGUUAAUAUUCCUGUACUUGGUGUUACUGCGAAGGGGGGACGGAGAAGGCUAUGUUGGCCGGGCGACGGUUGUCCCGGUUUAAGCGUGUAGGCUGGUUUUCCAGGCAAAUCCGGAAAAUCAAGGCUGAGGCGUGAUGACGAGGCACUACGGUGCUGAAGCAACAAAUGCCCUGCUUCCAGGAAAAGCCUCUAAGCAUCAGGUAACAUCAAAUCGUACCCCAAACCGACACAGGUGGUCAGGUAGAGAAUACCAAGGCGCUUGAGAGAACUCGGGUGAAGGAACUAGGCAAAAUGGUGCCGUAACUUCGGGAGAAGGCACGCUGAUAUGUAGGUGAAGCGACUUGCUCGUGGAGCUGAAAUCAGUCGAAGAUACCAGCUGGCUGCAACUGUUUAUUAAAAACACAGCACUGUGCAAACACGAAAGUGGACGUAUACGGUGUGACGCCUGCCCGGUGCCGGAAGGUUAAUUGAUGGGGUCAGCGCAAGCGAAGCUCUUGAUCGAAGCCCCGGUAAACGGCGGCCGUAACUAUAACGGUCCUAAGGUAGCGAAAUUCCUUGUCGGGUAAGUUCCGACCUGCACGAAUGGCGUAAUGAUGGCCAGGCUGUCUCCACCCGAGACUCAGUGAAAUUGAACUCGCUGUGAAGAUGCAGUGUACCCGCGGCAAGACGGAAAGACCCCGUGAACCUUUACUAUAGCUUGACACUGAACAUUGAGCCUUGAUGUGUAGGAUAGGUGGGAGGCUUUGAAGUGUGGACGCCAGUCUGCAUGGAGCCGACCUUGAAAUACCACCCUUUAAUGUUUGAUGUUCUAACGUGGACCCGUAAUCCGGGUUGCGGACAGUGUCUGGUGGGUAGUUUGACUGGGGCGGUCUCCUCCUAAAGAGUAACGGAGGAGCACGAAGGUUGGCUAAUCCUGGUCGGACAUCAGGAGGUUAGUGCAAUGGCAUAAGCCAGCUUGACUGCGAGCGUGACGGCGCGAGCAGGUGCGAAAGCAGGUCAUAGUGAUCCGGUGGUUCUGAAUGGAAGGGCCAUCGCUCAACGGAUAAAAGGUACUCCGGGGAUAACAGGCUGAUACCGCCCAAGAGUUCAUAUCGACGGCGGUGUUUGGCACCUCGAUGUCGGCUCAUCACAUCCUGGGGCUGAAGUAGGUCCCAAGGGUAUGGCUGUUCGCCAUUUAAAGUGGUACGCGAGCUGGGUUUAGAACGUCGUGAGACAGUUCGGUCCCUAUCUGCCGUGGGCGCUGGAGAACUGAGGGGGGCUGCUCCUAGUACGAGAGGACCGGAGUGGACGCAUCACUGGUGUUCGGGUUGUCAUGCCAAUGGCACUGCCCGGUAGCUAAAUGCGGAAGAGAUAAGUGCUGAAAGCAUCUAAGCACGAAACUUGCCCCGAGAUGAGUUCUCCCUGACUCCUUGAGAGUCCUGAAGGAACGUUGAAGACGACGACGUUGAUAGGCCGGGUGUGUAAGCGCAGCGAUGCGUUGAGCUAACCGGUACUAAUGAACCGUGAGG
rnacentral:rRNA from 1 species